rnacentral:rRNA from 1 species
AUUGAACGCUGGCGGCAGGCCUAACACAUGCAAGUCGAGCGGGGUGUUCGGACCUAGCGGCGGACGGGGGAGUAAUGCGUAGGAAGCUACCCGAUAGAGGGGGAUACCAGUGGGAAACGACUGUUAAUACCGCAUAAUGUCUACGGACCAAAGUGUGGCACCUUCCGGCCACAUGCUAUCGGAUGCGCCUGCGUGGGAUUAGCUAGUUGGUGAGGUAAUGGCUCACCAAGGCGACGACCCCUAGGUGGUUUGCGAGGAUGAUCAGCCAUCCGGGAACUGAGGCACGGCCCAGACUGCUAGGGGAGGAAGCGGUGGGGAAUAUUGGACAAUGGGCGCAAGGCUGAGCCAGCCAUGCCGCGGGUGUGAAGAAGGCCUUGGGGUGGUAAAGCACUUUCAACGAGUAGGAAGGGUUAGUCGUUAAUAGCGGCUAAUUUUGACGUUACUCGCAGAAGAAGCACCGGCUAACUCUGUGCCAGCCGCCGCCGUAACAC